rnacentral:rRNA from 1 species
GUCCACGCCGUAAACGAUGGGUGCUAGGUGUGGGAGGUGUCGACUCCUUCCGUGCCGAAGCUAACGCAUUAAGCACCCCGCCUGGGGAGUACGGCCGCAAGGCUAAAACUCAAAGGAAUUGACGGGGACCCGCACAAGCAGCGGAGCAUGUGGUUUAAUUCGACGCAACGCGAAGAACCUUACCUAGGCUUGACAUGUUGGAGAACGCCGUGGAAACACGGAACUCUUUGGACACUCCAUCACAGGUGGUGCAUGGCU